ensembl:snRNA U1 U1 spliceosomal RNA
CUACUUAACUGGCAGGGGAGAUAUCAUAAUCACAAAGGUGGUUUUCCCAGGGCAAGGCUUAUCCAUUACACUCUGGAUGUGCUGACCCCUGCGAUUUCCCCAAAUGUGGGAAACUCGACUGCAUAAUUUGUGGUGGUGGGGGGGGACUGCAUUCACGCUUUCCCCUG